UAAUGUUUUAUUAAUACGAACAAAAUAACUAUUCUUAUAAAUAAUUAUUGUUCAAGACAAGAAAAAAAAAUAUCAUAUUGAUAAAUAUAUCAUUGAUUCAAUAGUAAUGAUAUAUUUAUCAAAUUGAACAAUGAAUUUAUUAUAUAGAUCGAGGUUUUUCUCUGGGUGUAUAAUAUUAUAAAAUUAAAAAUAAAGUGGUGAAAUACUGACACCAGAUUACUCGCAUGGGGUAAAUUAUUUCUUAACGUAGACUUGUAUAAUUUUAUGGCAUUCUUGCAAGAAAAAGAUUAAUCAAGAUAACAAGAAACCGAUAACAUAUUAAUAAGCCUACUAUUUCAGUCUAUAGAAAUGUUCAAACAUAUUUUUGUUAAAAUAUAUAUUAAUUUACAAAUAAAAAUAAUGUGAAGUCAUUAUUUACACUGUGCCAGUAAUUUGGUGGUUAUAACAGAGUUGUCGAGUUAAAUUUUAAAUAAACAUUGUAGUUAAUAGUGAAAAAACCAAUAUGCUAAUAUAACCAGAAAAUGUAUUACACAAAACAAAAAAAAUGUAUAUAUCACAAUUCAAAACUAGAAAAUUAUCGUUAUCAGUUAUUAGCUUUUUUAACAUGGAAAUGAAACAUAAAACACGAUUAUAACAUAUUGCAAACAAAUUAAUCGUCAAAAUUCCUUACGACUGAUGUAACAUUUUUUGAAAAUUUUGUUAGUUCUCGAAAAUUCACAAAUUCAAUAAUGAAUUUUUUCAAAGUGUAUAUGGAGUAUUAUUUUUAGUAAAAAAAAAAUUAUUUUUUAAAACAUUAUGAAGCCAUAGUAAUGUGAAA